rnacentral:rRNA from 1 species
GGAAAACUUACCAGGUCCAGACAUAGUGAGGAUUGACAGAUUGAGAGCUCUUUCUUGAUUCUAUGGGAGGUGGUGCAUGUCCGUUCUUAGUUGGUGGAGUGAUUUGUCUGGUUAAUUCCAUUAACGAACGAGACCCCCGCCUGCUAAAUAGGUCCGUGAAUGAAUUUCAUUGACGAGAUCUUCUUAGAGGGACUUUUGGUGACUAACCAAAGGAAGUUGGGGGCAAUAC